GAGGAAACGCGUGAUUUUUGGAUACAUGGGGGAUCUUGUAGCAAAAUGUUUGAUUUGGGGUCAAAUGGGGGAUAUUUGAAGAGCAAAAGUGUGAUUUCCGAGUUAAAUGGGGGAUUUUCCUAGAGAAGAUGUGUGAUUUGGGGGAUAAUGGGGUAUUUUUGAAGAGAUAAAGCAUGAUUUUGGGGAAAUGGGGGUUUUCCAAGAGAAAAUGUGUGAUUUGGGGGUUAAAGGGGGGAUUUUCCUAGAGAAAAUGUGUGAUUUGGGGGAUAAUGGGGUAUUUUUGAAGAGAUAAAGCAUGAUUUUGGGGUAAAUGUGGGAUUUUCCAAGAGAAAAUGUGUGAUUUGGGGUUAAAAGGGGGAUUUCUGAGGAGAAAAUGUGUGAUUUGGGGAUAAUGGGUAUUUUUGAGAGAAAUGCAUGAUUUUGGGGGUAAAUGCGUAUUUUCCAAGAGAAAAGGUGAGGUUUUUAGUAAAUGGGGGUUUCCAAGAGAAAAUGCGUGAUUUGGGUUAAACGGGGGAUUGUUGAGAGAAAACGCGCAAUUUUUGGUUUAAA
rnacentral:lncRNA from 7 species